GCACUGGUAGUGCAGUGAUUAGCACGCGCUCCUGGAAAGUGUAAGACGCAGGUUCAACUCCAGCCCGAGGUU